UCUCCCUCAUCGUUACACUACUGAACCCCGUAAGUUAUCGUAAACGUUACGAACACUUAGACUUAAGUUGCUUCACACAACGAUGACAUCGUACGAGAGUAAGAGUAGGCAUAUAUACAUGUGUAGAACUUUAAGGGACAUCAGAAAAAUAUUCAUCGAACAAAGCCAACUUGCAUGUCUCUAUCAGUAUUGGUCGUACACGAAAGCGGACCCACGCCGUUCGACGAAAAAGUAUCGAGGACGGAAAAAGUGGACGUGACUACGCGGCCGACGAGAGUGUACUUGGGCCGUGCUCAUAGACUGUAAAAUCGACCCAUAUAUAUACCACGAACUGGUAAACGAGUUGUUUGUGCGAUACAGGAGCAAGUAUAUUAAUAUGGAAAUUGGUGCAUGUGUUCAACCUGGAAUUCACAUUUCAGUGACAAUUGGAUUCGUUUAACGAUAACUUCCCCAAAAAAAUUUAAGUGUUUUUAAGAUAUGAUGCCGAUGUUUACCGUAGUUCUAUGUGUCUGAAAAUUUUAUGAAGAAGUUUCAUUAAUGUGUUUAUAAUAGUUCAAAUCGGUAGAAAUAUUCGAAAGUUUUUGGAGUAAAUAAUUACCUUGCUGUGUUCUCUCAUUAAGGAUUCUGACCUAAGAUGCUGUGAGACCUCCGAAUGCGUCCAGGAUGAAUCAACUUUGGAAUUUCCUAUGAAGAAACUCUGAGGGGUCAGCAACGUGCCCUUGAAAAGAUACGCGGCAUCGUUUUAUAAAACGGAAAUCAUUGGUACCCGACACCCUCAAGUCCAAGUCACGUGAUUACAAAUCAUCGUGCGUGCACCCAAGUACUACUUCCAUGGCGUCCAAAGAAGAACGAAUUUCUCAAAGUUGUGUAUGUCUGUGUGUUUAUAUUGUGUGUGCGUAAGCGUCCCUGGAAACCUGUUCCCUUCGUAUUGAUGAUACGUGAGCAACAGGUAGAUUUUCUUUGAGCUUGGUUUCUACCUUUCCUAGACUUUAAGAUUUGAAAGGUUUUUUGGGUUCGAUCCCUAUCAUUUUGAAAGUUUUUCCGACCAAACCUUAUGUGUACGGAAAGAAAAGCUUUCUUAGAAGAGAUUAGAAUCAUUCGUAGAACUCAAACUUUGUUCCAAAUGUCGGCAAGACUUUUUGAAACUUUCUAAAGAACUUAGAAAAUGUUCAAAUAAUUCAAUAAAUCUUCGGAUACAAUUGUCCAACGAUAAAAGUAAAGCAAGUAACUCGUUACUGCAUCAAGUAUCGCGAUAUCUUUCUUUUGACACCAUUGUGUGACAUAAUAGACGUUCAUAUCUUUUAUUUCAGUUCAGAUGAAACCGCAUAUAAUGGAGCUUAUGUUCAAGAACUAUAUACAUACUCUACUUUCAGUGGUUCUCAAAUAUUAACUUCGAGUUCGAAAUAUUACAAUUAAAAGUUACAAUAAUAGUAACAAAUCAAAAAACGAUAUGCAAAAGGGUACGACAUCUGAUGUAGAAGACAUUAAUUAUGUUGAAAAUUAUAAUGAAAACCGUCGAUAAUGUGACAACGUUUAUAUAAAAUAUACAACUGUCGAAAAAAAAUUACCACGAAUAAUGUCGGUAAAAACGUUCGCCAACUUAUCGAUAGCGUUAAAAAAAUAUAAUUCCCUAUACGCGUUAGAAAGUAAAGAAAAAAGAAAUUAUUAUAAAAUCUAUCGUAAUUUAUCAGAACGAAAGUAUCAAGUUAACGUAAUCGCACCGACGGAAUUAUGUUAGAAUUAAAUUUCCCUGUAGUCCUUGCGAAUUCUUCCCUGCGAAUUUCACGCGAGACAAGACACUCUUUCGUCUGGAGCAAUUAACUCUCGAGAUUUCUAAUUAACUCCGUGAGAAAAUCAGAUAGAAAUUGCUAUGGCACUAAAAUUUCUUUGCUUACUGUUCAACCGGGACCGAAUACUACAAUCCUUCGCAACUCUUCUCAGUCUAAUAAGCUAUAAGUUCUCUUAACAAAUACAUACGACUACGUACAUUUGAUGUUUGGGAAUUAAGUUGAAGAAAAAAAAGAAACAUAUUUUUCUUUUCGACUGUAGUCUCUUUGAAACAGCUGACCCCCGUACAACAAAGACCGGUCCAGAGUAGUAUCUACGUUUACUACGCUCUCGCAAAGAGAAACGAGAAGAGAGGAAAGAAAAGAGAAGGAGAGAACCUUCAAUGCUCUCGACCAAUCAGAGAACCAGAAAGACUAAGAAUCUCGCAGGAGAAAGGUUCUUGGUCCGGCGGAUCCGUUACAAUGGCUCCUCGUGUGUAUCUAUACGUGUAAAGCGAGUGAACAUGCUGAUGUAUUCUGACAAUCGAGCAGCCAUUUCGUAAGAGUUCUAUUACAUUUGAAUUUCAAAAGUGUCUGAUAAUUCUAUAAAAUAUUAUUAAAAUUAUAAUAGUUACGCGCUCCUUAUAUUUUGAUAUACAUAUUAUGAAAAAUAAUAAGUACAUAUUUACUAAUUAAUCAUCAUGGAUUAAAGUAACGACGAGACUCUGUACGUAUCUUGAUCAACUUAUCUUUGACACUUCAACGAAUGGCAUAGGAAGCACUUAAGCUUACACUCUCGAGUGUCUUCAUCUUGAGUGUCUAAGUAUGCAUUAGAUAAGAACUUGAGCGGUUUGCUUUUACAUGAAAAAAGAUAUAAAGGAAAUGUCUCUUCAUGAUUUUGACCAUAAAAAAAUUAUCAAAGAGAUUUUCAACUUAAUGAGAAAGAGAACAUGAGAAAAGCAGAAAAACAGAUAUAUUAAAUCCGUAACGCGUAAACAUAAAAGUUCACUCAAAAAGUUAACUCAAAGCGGAUAUUAUAUCGAAUACAUAUUCUUUCUUACGGAGCUUCCCCCAGCCAUUCUCCAUUAUUUUUUUCGAGCAGUUGAUCCUAGUGACCUUUCUGUUGCUUACCUUGAGCGCACAGAAGAUGCAGGAUUCAGGCAUACAAGCAUGUCCGGAGAGUUCUCUGAAGCUACGUCUGAAGAUAUCCAAAUGCCAUAGAACCUGAAAGAAAAAGAAAAAUUACUAAUAAAGAAAAAGAAGAAGAGAAAAAAAAUGAAGAAACAGAAGAAAAGAAAUAAAAGAAGAAAAAGAAAAGAAAAGAAGAUGAGGAAGAACUAACAAUCGCAAGUACAUGCAUAACUUUUCCAUUGAGACGAAAAAGUGGGUUGAUUCUGAUUGCUCUUAAUUAACUCAAUAGCGAAGAAAAUAAAUCAAGCAGCGUGUCGGAGCUAGCUGUAAUUUCCAUGAAAUAAAAAAAGAAAGAAAGAAAAAAAAAAAAAAAAAAAAGAAAAAACUCUUGGGAAUGCAGAAGCACGAAGGCCAUACGUUGGGAAUAUUUUAAAUGAAUUAGAUAUGAAUGAAUUUACGCGAGUAUACAUUCGGUAUCCUUCGACGAGAUUAAUUUUCAAUAUGUGUGAAAAAGAAA